GUGGUGGGGAGAGAGAGAGGCGGGGGAGAUGGGACUGAGGUCUCGCUUGCCCAAGAUUGCGCGUGGUGGUGUGGCAGUUGGCGAACAAUGCAGACUCUCAACAAUGGAUCUCUGGGCUCUUGCAAC
rnacentral:rRNA from 1 species